rnacentral:rRNA from 1 species
GACGAACGCUGGCGGCGUGCCUAAUACAUGCAAGUCGAGCGGACCACUUCGGUGGUCAGCGGCGGACGGGUGAGUAACACGUGGGCAACCUGCCUGUAAGACUGGGAUAACACCGGGAAACCGGUGCUAAUACCGGAUAAUCCUUUCCCUCACAUGAAGGAAAGCUGAAAGACGGUUUCGGCUGUCACUUACAGAUGGGCCCGCGGCGCAUUAGCUAGUUGGUGAGGUAACGGCUCACCAAGGCAACGAUGCGUAGCCGACCUGAGAGGGUGAUCGGCCACACUGGGACGGAGACACGGCCCAGACUCCUACGGGAGGCAGCAGUAGGGAAUCUUCCGCAAUGGACGAAAGUCUGACGGAGCAACGCCGCGUGAGCGAUGAAGGCCUUCGGGUCGUAAAGCUCUGUUGUCAGGGAAGAACAAGUACCGGAGUAACUGCCGGUACCUUGACGGUACCUGACCAGAAAGCCACGGCUAACUACGUGCCAGCCGCCGCCGUAAAAC